CCGACCUUAGCUCAGUUGGUAGAGCGGAGGACUGUAGUGGUUCAGCUGUUAUCCUUAGGUCACUGGUUCGAAUCCGGUAGGUCGGA
rnacentral:tRNA from 11 species